GCCAUACCACAUUGAAAUACUAGUACUCAUCUGAUCACCAAAGUUAAGCAACAUUGAACCUGGUCAGUACAUAGAUGAGGGAGCACACAGGAAUAUCUGGUGCUGUAAG